UUAACGCUUGCAAGUUGAUUUUGAUGACGCGUGAGUUUCUUAAUAUUCCAAUUUUCUUAAACGUUAUUUAAUUGUGACUCAAAUUUCAAUUUGUAAUUUAGUUUAAAAUUCCAUGUAAUUCGCCACAAAUUUGGCAGCUAAGGGUGCAUUCCAUGUACUACGAACUAUAGUUACUCAAUGCAUGUACUAUCCAUGGUGCACUUUAUUUUUUUCAGUCAUCUCAAUGGUGUUAUAGCUCGGGCAAAAUUGCUAUUUGUAAUGACACCUGCAGCAGUUGACUUAUGUUAGAAAUAAUUUUUUCAGGAGCUUGGAAGCUCCAGAAAGCAAUUGCUAGUUCACAGGCGAGAUCGGUCCAUAACAGGUUCAAGGCAAUUCAGAUUGGAAAACAAAUACAUUCCUUUCCAGUUCCGUAAUCUCCGAAUAUUAGUACAAACAUUCGCGUACAAGUUUCGUGUAUUGUAUGCAUGAAUUAAUUGCGAUUAACGAUCGAAUCGGGUAUUUUACAUUUCACGAAAUAAUAUUUACUCGAACAAUUCAAAUGCGCAUCACCUCAACCACGAUCUGCGACGAUGGUGGGAUUGCUGGCAAUAUAAAGAGAAACCAUUUGGCGAUGUUUCCUUUUACGCCCGCAUUAUUCACAAAAGAUCGAAUCAUUCGGAAUAUUUUCAUAAUGGAUUUAAUAAGCAGGAUGAUGCCUCGUUCACCAAGGGAUACGACAGAUGAUCCGCAUGCUUGGACUUUUGCCCCGUUCAGGCCAGUGGUCGGUGGAUGUAGACCAGGUGAAGUACGCGGCCGAAAUAAUUCCUGCCGACGUAGAAGUAACAGAACUCCUGUAAUAUAAAUUUGACUCAGCUUUACGCGAGGGACGUGAUCUCUGACAAGUUAUUAGGUAAUUAGUAAUUAACUAUCCACUAAAUGUUUUUUCGAUAAUAUACUUGAUAUAUAAUAAAAAAUAAAAUAAUUAUCAUUAUAAUUUUGUAUUGUUAUCUGUCAACACGCGCCCCGCGAUGUUCAAACGAUUAUCAGAUUCAAUUCUAGCACUCUAGGUAUGAACGCGAGAC